UACGAAGGGGCUAGCGUUGUUCGGAAUCACUGGCGUAAAGCGCACGUAGGCGGAUUGUUAAGUCAGGGGUGAAAGCCUGAGCUCAACUCCAGAACUGCCUUUGAUACUGGCAAUCUCGAGUCCGGAAGAGGUAAGUGGAACGUGCGAGUGUAGGAGGUGAAAUUCGUAGAUAUUCGCAAGAACACCAGUGGCGAAGGCGGCUUACUGGUCCGGUACUGACGCUGAGGUGCGAAAGCGUGGGGAGCAACAGGGAUUAAGAAACCCAUGG
rnacentral:rRNA from 1 species